rnacentral:rRNA from 1 species
GACGUAGGGGGCGAGCGUUGUCCGGAUUUAUUGGGCGUAAAGCGUGCGUAGGCGGCUGCGCAAGUCGGUUGUGAAACCCCGGGGCUCAACCCCGGAACUGCAUCCGAUACUGCGUGGCGUAGAGGUAGGUAGGGGAGAUCGGAAUUCCUGGUGUAGCGGUGAAAUGCGCAGAGUAUCAAAGAGGAACACCUGAGGUGAAGACGGGUUGCUGGGCCGACACUGACGCUGAAGCGCGGAAAGCCAGGGGAGCAAACGGG